CCUACGGGCGGCAGCAGUGGGGAAUAUUGGACAAUGGGCGAAAGCCUGAUCCAGCCAUGCCGCGUGUGUGAAGAAGGCCUUCGGGUUGUAAAGCACUUUCAGUGGGGAAGAAAGCCUUGGGGCUAAUACCCUCGAGGAAGGACAUCACCCACAGAAGAAGCACCGGCUAACUCCGUGCCAGCAGCCGCGGUAAUACGGAGGGUGCGAGCGUUAAUCGGAAUUACUGGGCGUAAAGCGCGCGUAGGCGGUCUGAUAAGCCGGUUGUGAAAGCCCCGGGCUCAACCUGGGAACGGCAUCCGGAACUGUCAGGCUAGAGUGCAGGAGGGGAAGGUAGAAUUCCCGGUGUAGCGGUGAAAUGCGUAGAGAUCGGGAGGAAUACCAGUGGCGAAGGCGGCCUUCUGGACUGACACUGACGCUGAGGUGCGAAAGCGUGGGUAGCAAACAGGAUUAGAUAUCCGGGUAGUC
rnacentral:rRNA from 1 species